CGAUGAACGGUCAUACAGGACAUCAACGAGGUGAGAGAGAGAGACAGACAGGUUGUGUGUUAGAGCUGAGACGAUGAACGGUCAUACAGGACCUCAACGAGGUGAGAGAGAGACAGGUUGUGUGUUAGAGCUGGGACGAUGAACGGUCAUACAGGACAUCAACGAGGUGAGAGAGAGACAGGUUGUGUGUUAGAGCUGAGACGAUGAACGGUCAUACAGGACAUCAACGAGGUGAGAGAGAGACAGGUUGUGUGUUAGAGCUGGGACGAUGAACGGUCAUACAGGACAUCAACGAGGUGAGAGAGAGACAGGUUGUGUGUUAGAGCUGGGACGAUGAACGGUCAUACAGGACAUCAACGAGGUGAGAGAGAGACAGGUUGUGUGUUAGAGCUGGGACGAUGAACGGUCAUACAGGACAUCAACGAGGUGAGAGAGAGACAGGUUGUGUGUUAGAGCUGGGACGAUGAACGGUCAUACAGGACAUCAACGAGGUGAGAGAGAGAGACAGGUUGUGUGUUAGAGCUGAGACGAUGAACGGUCAUACAGGACAUCAACGAGGUGAGAGAGAGACAGGUUGUGUGUUAGAGCUGAGACGAUGAACGGUCAUACAGGACAUCAACGAGGUGAGAGAGAGACAGGUUGUGUGUUAGAGCUGAGACGAUGAACGGUCAUACAGGACAUCAACGAGGUGAGAGAGAGACAGGUUGUGUGUUAGAGCUGAGACGAUGAACGGUCAUACAGGACAUCAACGAGGUGAGAGAGAGACAGGUUGUGUGUUAGAGCUGAGACGAUGAACGGUCAUACAGGACAUCAACGAGGUGAGAGAGAGACAGGUUGUGUGUUAGAGCUGAGACGAUGAACGGUCAUACAGGACAUCAACGAGGUGAGAGAGAGACAGGUUGUGUGUUAGAGCUGGGACGAUGAACGGUCAUACAGGACAUCAACGAGGUGAGAGAGAGACAGGUUGUGUGUUAGAGCUGGGACGAUGAACGGUCAUACAGGACAUCAACGAGGUGAGAGAGAGACAGGUUGUGUGUUAGAGCUGGGACGAUGAACGGUCAUACAGGACAUCAACGAGGUGAGAGAGAGACAGGUUGUGUGUUAGAGCUGGGACGAUGAACGGUCAUACAGGACAUCAACGAGGUGAGAGAGAGACAGGUUGUGUGUUAGAGCUGGGACGAUGAACGGUCAUACAGGACAUCAACGAGGUGAGAGAGAGACAGGUUGUGUGUUAGAGCUGGGACGAUGAACGGUCAUACAGGACAUCAACGAGGUGAGAGAGAGACAGGUUGUGUGUUAGAGCUGGGACGAUGAACGGUCAUACAGGACAUCAACGAGGUGAGAGAGAGACAGGUUGUGUGUUAGAGCUGAGACGAUGAACGGUCAUACAGGACAUCAACGAGGUGAG